rnacentral:rRNA from 1 species
GUCUCAGUUCGGAUUGAAGGCUGAAAUUCGCCUUCAUGAAGCCGGAAUUGCUAGUAAUGGCAGGUCAGCAUACUGCCGUGAAUACGUUCCCGGGCCUUGUACACACCGCCCGUCACACCAUGGGAGCCGACAACGCCCGAAGUCAGUGACCUAACCGAGAGGGAGGAGCUGCCGAAGGCGGGGUUGGUAACUGGGGUGAAGUCGUAACAAGGUACC